CCUAAUCCAGAAUGAGGGUGAGUAAAUUGAGAAACCAUCCGCAUUAUUUGGAUUAGGUG
rnacentral:pre_miRNA from 1 species